UCCUCUCCAAAUCUGAACCAUGAAGGAGGAAUGAAGUUCGAUAGCACACUGGCUUCAUGAAUCUGGGAGAAUAUAAGAACAUAAGAAAUAGGAGCAGAGUCAGUAGCAUGCUUCCUGUAAUGGUGGUCACUGGCAGAACUGGACCCAAGUACAGAGGAAUGGCAAACUCUGUCACUGUGAGAGCUGGCAACAACUCAACCCAGGAGUGGACGAAUGGCACCCUCCCCGUGAAGAGAUGGAAACUAGAGGUUAUACAUAGGAAUUCCAACAGAGCAUCAGAGGUCUCACCAAUGUAGAGGAGGCUGUACCAGGAGCACAGAAUACAGUAGACGACCCCAAAAAAUUUGAAGGCGACGUGUUGCCUCAACUUUAAGGACUAUUUGGUGCCCUGAAUGGAAGUGAAUGGGUAAGUGCUGCAUUUCUGUUGCUAACAGGGUUAUGUGCCAGGAGGGAGAUAAGUAGGUAAGAAUGAGUGGACAAGGGGCUCAUGGAGGGUGUGAUCCCUGUGGAAAAUGGAGAGUGGGAGUAAAGUAAUGAUAAGGUUGGUGGUAGGAUCCUGUUGAAAGUGGAAAUGGCGAAGACUGAUGUGUAGGGUGCAAAGAAUCAUGGGGUACUAGGGAAGGACAAGAGGAACUCUAUCACUGAAAAGGCAAUGGUAAGAUGGUGUGAACAUGGAUAUCAGCAAAUGGAGGAGAUGUGAGCGAGGGCAGCAUCAAUGGUGGAGGAAGGGAAACCCUGUUCUUUGAAGAACGAAGACAUCUUUGAUGUCCUGGAAAGGAAAGCUUCAUUCUGGGAGCAGAUGCGGUGGAAAUGAAGGAACUGAGGAAAGGGAAUAGCAUUUUUACAGGAAGGACGAGGUAUAGUCAGGAUAGUCAAGAUAGUCGUGGGAAUAGCCAUGUAAAAGAUGUCAGUAGACAGUUCGCCCCUCCCGAGAAAUUGGGAGUGUGGAGAAUGGUGUCAGAAAUGGACCAAAUGAAUUUGAGGGCAAGGUGGGUGUUGGAGGCAAAGUUGAUGAAAUUGACGAGCUUAGGGUGUUUGUGAACAAGCUUGUGUUGUUUUCUCUGAAGCAUCAGAAGUUGGGGGAAGGUCUGACAUGUAUUUAAGGUGAGAGGGGAGAAUGUUGAGGGAUGUACGGUACAAGUUUUUGCACAAAAGUGGUGGGUGCCUGGAACAGACUGUCAGAGGUAGUGUUGGAAUCAGAUAAAAUUGUGGGGUUUAAGAUGUUUAUAUGUAGCCACAUGAACCCUUCCCAGUACA